rnacentral:rRNA from 1 species
AUAUCACUAAGCGGAGGAAAAGAAACUAACCAGGAUUCCCCUAGUAACGGCGAGUGAAGCGGGAAAAGCUCAAACUGGAAAUCUCAAAGCUUCGCUUUGCGAAUUGUAGUUUAAAGAAGCGGUUUCGGUGAUGGCUUGAGUUAAAGUCCUUUGGAACAAGGCGUCAUAGAGGGUGAGAACCCCGUCUUUGACUUGGAGUCCGCUAUGUUCGGCCUACGUUCUGAGAGUCGGGUUGCUUGAGAUUGCAGCCCAAAAUGGGUGGUAAAUUUCAUCUAAAGCUAAAUAUUUACGAGAGACCGAUAGCGAACAAGUACCGUGAGG